rnacentral:rRNA from 1 species
AGCGAACGCUGGCGGCAGGCCUAACACAUGCAAGUCGAGCGCCCCGCAAGGGGAGCGGCAGACGGGAGAGUAACACGUGGGAACGUACCCUUCAGUUCGGAACAACCCAGGGAAACUUGGGCUAAUACCGAAUACGUCCGUAAGGAGAAAGAUUUAUCGCUGAAGGAUCGGCCCGCGUCUGAUUAGCUAGUUGGUGAGGUAACGGCUCACCAAGGCGACGAUCAGUAGCUGGUCUGAGAGGAUGAUCAGCCUCACUGGGACUGAGACACGGCCCAGACUCCUACGGGAGGCAGCAGUGGGGAAUAUUGGACAAUGGGCGCAAGCCUGAUCCAGCCAUGCCGCGUGGAUGAUGAAGGCCCUAGGGUUGUAAAGUCCUUUCGGCGGGGAAGAUAAUGACGGUACCCGCAGAAGAAGCCCCGGCUAACUUCGUGCCAGCCGCCGCCGUAAAAC